GGGGCGGGGUCUGAAGCUCAGCGGUUCUGACUACCGCUGGCGACCUCGUAGCGGAGUGGCGGCCCCGUGCGUCCCGCAGGACGACUGUAAUGGGUCUGACAUCAGAGAUCAAGCUGGCUGUGCCCUGGGGACACAUCGCUGCCAAACUCUGGGGCUCCCGGCAGGGCCCCCCGGUUCUUUGCCUGCACGGCUGGCUGGACAAUGCCAACUCCUUUGACAGACUCAUCCCUCUUCUCCCAAAAGACUUUCAUUACGUUGCCAUGGAUUUUGGGGGACAUGGGCUGUCAUCGCAUUACAGCCCAGGUCUCCCGUAUUACCAGCAAAACUUUGUGAUUGAGGUCCAGAGAGUUGUAGCAGCUUUGAAAUGGAAUCGUUUUUCCAUCAUGGGCCACAGUUUUGGUGGUAUUGUGGGCGGAAUGUAUUCCUGUACCUUCCCCGAGAUGGUGGAUAAACUUAUCUUGCUGGACGCGUUGCCAUGUGCCCUGGACUAUAAAGAAUCGGAGAACUUGCUGACCUAUAAGCGGAGAUUGAUAGAACACAUGCUACAAACAGAGGCCUCCCAGAAGCCCCAGCGAGUGCUCAGCCCGGAGGAGAUGUUGCAGGGGUUCCUGAAGAACAACAGUCACGUGGGUGAGGAAUGUGCACGGCUUCUCCUGCAGAGAGGAACCACCCAGGCGGCCACAGGUCUGGUGCUGAGCAGAGACCGGAGGAUCACUUUGCCAGAGUACAGCAUCGAUUUCAUCAGCAGGGACCUGCUUGUGCAUUUCAUCAGGAAGCUGCAGGCCCACAUCCUGGUCAUCAAGGGUCUGCGAGGCAGGGGCCAGCGGGCCUGACAGUGGGACGCUCGCUCUACCAAAUUCUCCAGCCACACCAGACCCCUUAGGGCCCCAGAUCCGGGCUGCUCACCUGCCUUCCUCCCCACUCCCGGCGCCCGGCCGGAAGCAGUCCCACAGUGAACAUCUUUCCGUGUGGCUUGGAUGCCGCUUUCUGCUCUGCUGCGGCGAGCCUAGACUGUGGCAUGCCUGAGGCAGGAGCCCCGACUUCUGGGGACACGUGUGUCUCUGGUGCUGAGCACGGGGGUUUAGGAGGCAAAUCCACACCACAGGGAAAUACGCCGCACGUCCUCAUUAGGACGGCCAGACUAAAAGAUAACUGGUGUCGGCAACGAUGUGAGACACCAGGACCCUCGUGCUGGGGGGCUGUAACACGGAGCAGCCACUUGGAAAGCAGUCUGGCAAUUUCCCAAGCCAGUGUUACCACAGGACCCGGCAACUGCACUCCCUGGGCAUCUGUGUGCCCCACACAGGACCACACGACAGCUCGUACGUGAUGGCUCAGAGCAGUGUUGUUCACAACGGCCCAGAGGUAGAGACGUCUGUCAGCCGGUGAGCAGAUGAGCCAAAGCAAUGCAAGGGUUUUAUAACGUGAGAAGAGAGAACGACGCUGACAAGGAGGCCCUAAAUCUGGUGAAGGACAUACUGAAAUCUGUCCUAAAGGAGGUAGGU